rnacentral:rRNA from 1 species
CAGGACGAACGCUGGCGGCGUGCCUAACACAUGCAAGUCAACGGGGAUUUGUUUCGGCAGAAUCCUAGUGGCGAACGGGUGAGUAACGCGUAGGCAACCUGCCCUCCGGCCGGGGACAACACUCCGAAAGGGGUGCUAAUACCGGAUACGAAGUCUGUGCCGCAUGGUACGGAUCUGAAAGAUGGCCUCUAUUUAUAAGCUAUCGCCGGGGGAUGGGCCUGCGUCCGAUUAGCUGGUUGGUGGGGUAACGGCCUACCAAGGCGACGAUCGGUAGCCGGUCUGAGAGGAUGAACGGCCACAUUGGGACUGAGACACGGCCCAGACUCCUACGGGAGGCAGCAGUGGGGAAUCUUCCGCAAUGGGCGCAAGCCUGACGGAGCAACGCCGCCGUGAGUGAGGAAGUUCUUCGGAACGUAAAGCUCUGUUGUUCCUGACGAACCUCCCCUCUAUCAACAACGGAGGGGACUGACGGUAGGGAACGAGGAAGCCACGGCUAACUACGUGCCAGCCGCCGC